rnacentral:rRNA from 1 species
UACGUAGGGUGCAAGCGUUUGUCCGGAAUUAUUGGGCGUAAAGAGCUCGUAGGCGGUCUGUCGCGUCUGCUGUGAAAACUCAGGGCUUAACCCUGAGCUUGCAGUGGGUACGGGCAGACUAGAGUGCGGUAGGGGAGACUGGAAUUCCUGGUGUAGCGGUGAAAUGCGCAGAUAUCAGGAGGGAACACCGGUGGCGAAGGCGGGUCUC